UACGUAGGUGGCGAGCGUUGUCCGGAAUCAUUGGGCGUAAAGAGCGUGUAGGCGGCUUGGUAGGUCCGCUGUGAAAACUCGAGGCUCAACCUCGAGAUGUCGGCGGAAACCACUUGGCUAGAGUCCGGAAGAGGAGAGUGGAAUUCCUGGUGUAGCGGUGAAAUGCGCAGAUAUCAGGAGGAACACCGGUGGCGAAGGCGGGUCUCUGGGCCGAUACUGACGCUGAGGAGCGAAAGCGUGGGGAGCGAACAGG
rnacentral:rRNA from 1 species